rnacentral:lncRNA from 1 species
AACAAGAAUGGAGAGACCUUGUUGUUUCCCUGUGCAAAGCAUAGCAUCCAAAGGAUCAGAAAUGACUGACAAGGACAACAGAAUUUCAAUGGCAAUGCUUGUUGACAUCAUUGUUUUGCACCCCACUUUUACAAUACAGGAGAGAUACUUUGUUUCCUUUAGUCUGACUAGUUCUUGGCCAUCUUUAGGCAGGUAUCCUUUGUUCUCCUUCCAAAGCCACCCUGUUUGUUUCCUUUUUGAAUUUUUCUGCAACUUGUACUCUAUCUGACUGGCUGGUAUAUUCUCAUCUUCCUAAUCCUAACUGCAGAACCCCCAGGAAUGGAGAGACCUUAGGAUUUGUUUCCCUGUGAGCCACUUGAUAAUGGUGAUGAUAAGUCAUGCAUUCCAUGUGUGACUGCGUAAACUUAGAGUUUCAUUCUUCCUGCAUCUUGAUUGCUUCUGUUGUUUGUGUUUCUUUAGCUGUCCAUGUUCCACCAUAGAAUAAACAGCAAGAUUCGUGAUGUUUGUGAUGAUGACAAUGAGGAUAAUGAUAAUGAUCAGACAUACAUGUCACAUGUGGGUGGAUAAAUGUUUUUGAAUCUUGAUUGCUUUUGUUGUAUGAGUUGUCUUCAAGUCGUGAAGCUUCAAUGGCAAUGCUUGCUGAAGUCAUCAUACCUAGGCAGUCAAGGCCACAAUGAUACGUUGGAAUCCACUGCAAUCCUUUGCACAGGUGCUCCAUGUCUCCAUCUCAAGUCAGGUCCUGUUCUUCCUCUGCUGAAAUUUUCUAUAAUUUACACUGCUUGUCUACCUUGUCUAAUACUACUCUCAUCAUCCUAACUGUAGCAAUAGGCAAUUUUCAUUAUGAUGUCAUGCCAUAAGUGAGAAUCCUUAAAGCGUUUGUUUAGCUCACUGGGAUUGGGCUGCUAUUUAUUGUAUUUAUUAGGAAAAAAUCUGAACUCUGGUUGUUUUAGUCAAAUGACAUCAUAGUGCAAACAGCCUAUUGUUUGGUGAUUAUCUUCUUGGCUAGGUCCUGGAUUCCUCUUUUUGUCACAGCAUUAGCAGCUUCCAAGGUACUUGCAGUGAUUCAUUGAUUGGCACUCCUGCUCAUCUGCCAACCGGCUGGCUGCCUUUCCUCUUUUGGUUAGCUCAAUGAUCCUUGUCAGCUAUUAUCAAAGGCUACCUAUCUAGCUGAUAUGAGCUGAGAGUCCUGUCUGGCUUGGGUGUAGCACUCAGCAUAUUGAUGAAUAACAGGCUGGGUGGUCUGUCUUUGAAAUGUCUUUUUUAUGGCAGUGGCUGACUGGAGAAGAACUGGUCAUCAUGAAAUGAAGAGAGCUGAAAAAUAAAACAAGGCAGUUAAUGAAGAACAAAGUGAACAUCAUCCGACUGUAAUAACUGCACUUAUCCUUUGCACAGUUGACACAGUUUUGGUGUGAAUAGGCUUUUUGAUGAACGAUAUAAAAAUUCAUCAUCUUUGGAAAUCGAACAGUUAUGGCGCGAAGUAACCCAUGUGGAAUGCGCACAAUUUCUGUAAGAUCUGAUUUUGUUAAAUUAUUUACAUUGAUCACUCAUUUAUUUUCGAAAUCAGAUAUUAUGAAAUUAUUUGGCAUAGAAUUCUAACCUCAGUGGAAUGUUCUAGUCCGAUCCCAAACGUAAAAAAUGCAAUUAAAGUAACUUCCCCAA